rnacentral:lncRNA from 10 species
UGUUGGGAUUACAGACAUGAGCCACUGUGCCUAGCCUAGAACUAUGUAUUUUUAAAACAGUAGAGGUCAGGCAUGAUGGCUCAUACCUGUAAUCCUAGCACUGAGAGGCCAAGGCAGGAGGAUUGCUUGAAGCCAAAGUUUGAGAUGACCCUGGUUGACACGGUAAGACCCCAUCUCUUAAAAAAAAAAAAAAAAAAAGCUGGGUGUGUUGGUGAAACCAAGGCCUCAUGCAAAAUCAAAUACUCAAAAAGUUUCUAGGCUGGUCUGAAGGUGGUGAGUUAGCUCAGUUGAUUGGUCACAGUCAGUUAAAGAUCCAGUUCCUUGUUCUGCUCUUUCCCUCUUCUUAC